UUUGGGGACGCGGAGGGACAUUACCGAGUUUACAACUCCCAAACCCAAUGUGAACGUUACCAAACUGUUGCCUCGGCGGGAUCUCUGCCCCGGGUGCGUCGCAGCCCCGGACCAAGGCGCCCGCCGGAGGACCAACCAAAACUCUUUUUGUAUACCCCCUCGCGGGUUUUUUAUAAUCUGAGCCUUCUCGGCGCCUCUCGUAGGCGUUUCGAAAAUGAAUCAAAACUUUCAACAACGGAUCUCUUGGUUCUGGCAUCGAUGAAGAACGCAGCGAAAUGCGAUAAGUAAUGUGAAUUGCAGAAUUCAGUGAAUCAUCGAAUCUUUGAACGCACAUUGCGCCCGCCAGUAUUCUGGCGGGCAUGCCUGUCCGAGCGUCAUUUCAACCCUCGAACCCCUCCGGGGGGUCGGCGUUGGGGAUCGGCCCUGCCUCUUGGCGGUGGCCGUCUCCGAAAUACAGUGGCGGUCUCGCCGCAGCCUCUCCUGCGCAGUAGUUUGCACACUCGCAUCGGGAGCGCGGCGCGUCCACAGCCGUUAAACACCCAACUUCUGAAAUGUUGACCUCGGAUCAGGUAGGAAUACCCGCUGAACUUAAGCAUAUCUA
rnacentral:rRNA from 1 species